rnacentral:rRNA from 1 species
UACGUAGGUGGCUAGCGUUGUCCGGAUUUACUGGGCGUAAAGAGCGCGCAGGCGGUCGUUCAAGUCGAGUGUGAAAGCCCCCGGCUCAACUGGGGAGGGUCACUCGAUACUGAUCGACUCGAAGGCAGGAGAGGGAAGCGGAAUUCCCGGUGUAGUGGUGAAAUGCGUAGAUAUCAGGUGGAACACCAGUGGCGAAGGCGAGUCUCUGGACAUUUCCUGACGCUGAGGCACGAAAGCCAGGGGAGCAAACGGG